CGAGCGCCCUUGCGCUGAAGAUGAACGGGGCUAAGCGAUCUGCCGAAGCUGUGGGAUGUCAAAAUGCAUCGGUAGGGGAGCGUUCCGCCUUAGAGGGAAGCAACCGCGAAAGCGGGGGUCGACGAAGCGGAAGCGAGAAUGUCGGGGUGGGGAAAGGAAACAAUGGUGAGGAGCCAAUGGCCCGCAAACACAAAGGUUCCUCCGCCAGGGUCGGCCACGGGGGGGGGGGCCGGGGCCA
rnacentral:ncRNA from 1 species